GGAGUUCUGUUACCCUAAAACCAGCUUUGGGCACAGGCGCACCAAGGGUAGGUUGCAUGCUUCUGUGCUAAGCUGCAGAGCUAGAGUGAUCACACACACACCCUGAAAAGACUCGGCACUUCAGUGUGGUCUCAUUUGGAAAGAGUUUCCGCAGAUGUAAUCAGUCCAGGUUCAAAAUGAGCUCUUACCGAAUCAAGCAAAGGGAACAGCAAACCUGUGCACGUCUAGGAAGAGACAAGAGCACACGCAGAGACACCUGGAGGAACGGGCUACGUGAAGCAGAGUGGAGACCGGAGCAAGUUAUCUUAAGCUAAGGAGUACCGAGGAUGGCUGGCAGCCACUGGAAGCUAAGAGGAAGGGCUGUUGAGAUCUCCUUGGACCUGGACACACAGAGGGAGGAGAAGCAUCCCAGGUCAGGAGUCAUCUCUGCCCGAGUCAUCAGGUUCGCGGAUUCUUGGUGCAGCAACUGCUCAUGCAUUCUGGUCUCAGUCGGCUACGACACAGCAUUUCUCAGGCGCACACACCGAUUCAGGGAAGGCAUGCGGCCUGGUUCAGGUCCCAGGUUCACUGGAGCAUCUGAGAAAGGGGUUUCUUCACUUUUCUUUCUAGAACCACCAAACGGGAUACUCUCUUGCCUUUGAGAGACGGUGUACAGCUACAGAACUUGGAUUUCUGGAUUCAUUUUUUCUAGAGGAGCCGUGCUCAGCAUGAAGCUUGUAAGACUGAAGGCAGAGCAGAAAAUGGCAAUGCUAACAUUUUUGUUUGUUUGUUUGAGCUAAUGACUCAAACCAACAUAAGAUGGCCAUUUUAUUUUGAUUUAUUUAUUUUACUUUAUGUGUGUGAAUGUUUUGCUUGCAUUUACGUGUACCACGUUUGUGCCUGGUGUCCACCAAGGUCAAGGGCAGUGGAUGCUCUGGAACUGAAGUAAGGCUGGUUGUGAACUGCCAUGUAGAUGCCGAGAAUCGAACCCGUGCCCUCUGUGAGAGCAACAAGUGCUCCAAACCACGGAAUCAUCUCUCCAGCCCUAAGAUGUUUAGCUUUGUCAACUUGACACAGUCUAGAAUCACCCGAGAAGAGGAUCUUAGGGAGGGAUUGGCCAGAUCAGGUUGGCCUGUGGCUGUGCCUGUGGGGGCCUGUCAUGAUCAUGUUGAUUGGCGUGGGGAAACCCAGUCCACUGUGGGCAUCACCAUCCCCCAGACUCCAGUCCUACAAUAUUAUGAGUGGAGAAAGUGAGCUGAGUAGUAGGCACUCAUGCAUUAAUUCUCUCUCUGCUCUUGACUGCUGGAUGUGACUGGCUGUUUCAAGUUCCUGCCCUGACUUCCCCUUCGUGGUAGAUUAAAACCUAGAAUUAUAAAUAAACACCUACAACAGAAACAAAACUAAAACACAACCUCGGGGCUGAGCUGCCUCAGUGGUUAAAGUGGUCACCAUACAAGUAUGAGGCCUGGAGUCUGGAUCCCAACUGGAUGAUUGUGGUGCCCUGUCUGUAAUUCCAGCCUCUGCAGAUAGGGGAUCCCUGCAGCAAGCUGCCUCGCAAGACUAGACACAUUGGUGAUUUCUGGGUUUAACUGAGGUACCUUAUUUUAAUUAAUGAGGUAGAAGAGUAAUUGAGGAUUAUUCCUAACAUCACCUGCAGACUAUACAUGCACAUGGACAUACAUGCACACAUACAUGCCAAAAAAAUGGAAAGGAAAACAAAUAUAACCCUAACACCUAUCUGACCCUGGACUUUUAGUUCUGUUAGAGUUUGAAAUUAAAUAUUCAGCUGUCGCUGAAGAACAAUAUGGAAUGAGCAGACAGGGGACUUGGUGAAGACUGAUUAGGUCUGUAGCGAGAAGGCUGGCAGUAGGAAGAGAGGAUGUCAAAGGUCUGGAUCAUCAGAAAGGGAGAUGUCAAGUGGGAGGCUUCCCUACAGCUGUCUGGCCAGCAUUUCCACACUGAAAGUGAAACAAAGGAACAGGGCAUGGGGAAGUUGAGUCCACCCACAGGCAAAUCUGGGUAAGAGUCAACCCAAAAUGUUACAGACAAAACAGAUAUUUACUUGAAGGUGUAUACAAUCCUAGUCCAACAGAUGAUCUCACACUUAGGAGGAAUGAAGUGGAAUAGCUCACCACAAUGUCUGUAACCAGGCCUGGAAGACAGCAUGUAAAACUGGAAGGAUACUGAAAAGAGAAAGACUAAAUGUCUGUGAGGAGAGGAUGCCUCGGGAGAACGUGUGGCUGAUCGCUCGGCGUGGAGGAGGUCCUGGAUUAGAACAAGAAAGGGAGAGUGAGGGCACCGCUCUUCUCAGUGGCCAUGGUAGAACCGACUGAGUCAGUUUGUGGACAUGAAACUUCUGGGCAUCCCAGAGGGCAACCCUGCAGGGGACACGGGUGGGAGCUGCUGGAAGUGAGGCCACAGUUCACACAGACUCGCUGAGGUUCUUCUGAUGUCCCUGGUGAGGAAGAUGAGGACGAUUGGAAAGAGGAGUGCAGAUGGAAAGGGAGAGGCUCUCAAAGAAGGAAGAGGCAGCUGUGGGCAGGAAGAAGUCUGGGACGGCGAGAGGAAAGCCAAAGAUGGUUUCCAGAAGAAGUGAGGAAGAUUCAGAUGUGUAGGAAGGCCAUUUCUCAGGAUGCAGGGGUCGGUGGGGACAAAAUGAUGGAGAGGCCCUCAUUUCCUGCAUGCCUGUCUCUAUCAUAUACCCAGUUAGACAUAGUAGAUUAGUGACUUUCAAUUAUCACAGCUAGGCAAUAAGGUAUUGUUAAUUUCAAGUUAAGAAACAGGAGAUAACAUGGAGUUUCACAAGUUUAGAGUAUCUCAAAUGUCAUAAUGAAAAACUGUGGACAGAAAGAGAUUAAGACCAGAAAUGUUCAAGUGUGAAAAAGCUAUGCAGUACAAAUGUGGCUGGCGGUAAGCUUGAAUUAACGUCCUGCUUUGAGCUUCUGAACACCAAGCAAUGAGAGGUGAGACAUUGAUAAAAGGGCAGCUGGAGAUGUCUGAUUCCUUUCAACAACUAAGUAAGGAGGUUGGAGGUCCCACCCUAAGGAGUGAAAAAAAAAGACACAUAAACCGAAGUAUGAUCAACUUUACUAGAUUCAUCAGAGGAAGAGAAGUCGUGGGAGAAACAGACAGGUGGAGACAGGAAAGAGCUUACGAGGCCAGAGCCCACUGUGCUUGUGUGAUGUCUCCAGAGCUUGUGAUGGACACGACAAAGUGACUCAGAAGAACGGAGCGUUCUCAAAGAAGAGGAGUGAUUAAAUCCGGAGCCUUGAGAUGGAGAGAGUGUUUGGGAUGACCCAGGUGAACCCAACCUAAUCACUGAAAGUGGAGAAAACAUCGAAACCACAACCAUUCCAUGGAAGAAAGACCAGAGAGCUACAACCUGGCUGGUUUUGAAAAUUGAGGAAGAGGGUCACAGGCCUCUUCCCACACGUGGGUGGCUAGAACCUGGGCUGGAAUGCUUCCCUAAAACCUUCAGAAGAACGCUGCCCUGCUCAGACAUUGACUUUAACCCAGAUGUGGGGCGCUAACAUGCAGAGCUGUAAGAAAGACAGUAAGAGCAUAUGUUUAAAGUCACCACGGUCUUUGUAAUCCUUCAUGUCAACCACAGAAAUUAAGCAAACACAAUAUGCCUUAAGAUAUUUUUAGCUCCCCUCCCCAGCAGUCCUGAAGAGUAUAUACGAGCUACCUGAAGCCAAGAUAUACAGGAUAUACACCAUGCAGGAAUCCUCAGUGGAUGCUCCACUAGAGCUGACAAGUUUUCCAGGCAGACAGACGGCCCGUUCACCUGGGUCCUGGGCACGUUCCAGCUCCUGGCCUAAGAUGUGUAGAACUACUAAAGAGGUCCCCAGACUGAGUUUGCCACUCCUAAGUAAUGCCAUCCGUCUGCUCAGGACGGAACUGCAAACUGUGGCUGCAGGGACUCACGAGGCUUGCAGGGAAGCGCAACUCAGACUGGCUGGGUUCACGUUUACCUGAAAAGAAGGAAAACUGAGUAGUCCCCUGGGGAGGUGAAGAAAGUGGAAGAAAACUCCAGACCUACAAUCCGUUCUUCCUUCCUUCCUUUCCUCCCUCCCUCCCUCCCUCCUUCCUUCCUUCCUCCCUUCCUUCCUUCCUUCCUUCCUUCCUAAGACAAGGUCUUAUGGUUGCUCUGUAGCCAAUGAUGACCUUUGAACUUCUAAUCUUGCUACCUUUGCCUCCUGGCUGAUGAAGCUGAAGGUGUACACCACUACACCCAAUUAAUGCAGUCCUAAGGAUGGAACCCAGAGCUUCAUGUACGUGAGGCCAAAACUCUACCAAAUGAGCGACAUCCCCUGCCCCAGCCACACAAUUCUUGAUGCUGUUUGAGGCACUUCUGUUGUGGCCAGGACGCUGUGACUGGAGGGCUCUUGACGACCUAAGAGCUUUCAGAUCACAAACCUUGCCCCAAGGUAGAACGCUGCUGCUGUUCAGAAUGCUGUUCUGAGUGCAGAGCGGGGCAGGCAGGAGUGUGGAAGCCAAGAUCUGGGGGCAGUGGAGCCCUGGGCUGGUUCCCUGUGGACAGAUCGGAAGUGGCAGGAAUAUAUACUGGUCUGUGCUUUAACUGAGGAAGCUGACUUGGAGAAAAGAGCACAGGUUAGGGAGGCACGAAAGAGCCACCUGCCUUCUGCCUUCAGCCAAGGCAGCCCUUUCCACCGCAAGUUCAGGCCUCUUCCUGCCCGCUUCCUCUGGGAGGGAUGGGGCCGCACUUCUUAUAGCAGGCAGAAGGGAAGGUGCUGGCAGGAAAUCAUCACUUGGGCCUACUCAGGUACCAGAGUCACCAGGAAAGAGAAAAACAGGUUCAAUAUCAGUGCUAGGCUUGAUAUUGAAAACAGGUGAUUUCACUUCUGGGGAGACGGAUCUUUUGCUAGGAUGAUUGUGGGUCGGACGGUUGGAGAGUAUUCUAAGCCUGGCUGUGCGGGUUUGUGAUGGUCUUCAGAAGGCGGCAGCUGCAAAGUUAUAGCUGGCAGGUGAUUUUUUGCCAGCUUGAGAGGGAAUCAAGGCCCUCUGGUUCUGAUGGGUUGGAGCACAAAGCACAAGUGAGCCAAGUCAAUAACAGGUGGGCACAGCGGGGGAUCUGAAGCCAUCCGUGGCGGAAGGUAGAAGAUGGCAGGGAUAAAAAGACCACAAAGCUUUCUGAGAGCCAGAGCCCCAGUCCAAUAACUAACCCCAAAUCUGAGCCCAAAACUGGGGAGAGCAGGUGGAUGUGAGAUGUCAGAACAGGGUUCAGCCAUGGGAACACCUUCCAGGAAUUUCAUCCAAGGAUUUCCUUCUGGGUGGCAGUUGUUCUCUCUUUGGAUCGAAAAUGGACCUGUGGAGUGACUUGUACAAGGGCAUCUUCAAGGCCCUGACAGACAUUAAAUAGGGCAAGCAUUGUAGGAGACAUUUGACAAACAUGUAAGUCACCUACCCUUAGUGAGAGUGAUUGCUAGCCUUUGGGUCUGCCAUGCUAUUGGCCUUAUCUCUCCAGUAUGGGAGAAAAUAUAUUGACUUUAAGAGAACUUGUAUUUCCAGUAGCUGAUACCACGCUGUUAUCUUCCUUGAAUACCUUUUGUAGAUUUCUAAAUCUCUUUGUACAUUUCUAUUACUUGAUUUUUUGUUGCUGGACUUUGAUGUUGAUUGUAUCAGGAGUCCUGAAGUGGCCCCUGAGUGUGAAGGAACUUUCUAAGCUUUGGGGCUCCAGUGGAGCUCCAGUGACAGAUGGGAAUUUGAACAAUGGCACCAGGUGUAACAAUUUUUAGAGGCACAACUUUUAAGGGGAUAAAAAUGUAAGCAAAGGCUGUUGUGACUUUAUACAGAAAGAAUUUCUUACAUAAAACAACAAAAUCACAAGCCACAAAGGAGAAGAUUAGUCAAGAGCCAUAUUUUAGAAAAAAAAUCUCUGGGGAAAAAUAAAAGAAAUUAUAACUAUUUCUUAAAAGCUAACGCUUUAAGAGAUGGCGAAGUGAUUGCACUGAAUUCUUGCUACAUCGCCCACAGUACACCCCAAGGAUCAGAACAUUACUUCACCCAGUUGCUCCUAUAACAUGGACUUCCUGAGCGGGCGUUAGAAGUGGCGCCACAGGGAAGAUGCACUCUAGACUACAAGGCCUGGGGAAAGCAGUUGUUUUGUUUUGUUUUUCCACACAAAGGAAAAACCAAAACUAAGUAGCAACAGCCACGGAUACGGAAUUCUGAAGGAAGGUGCCGAAUUCAGUGUGCUUGCUGCUUGUCAUGAGAAGGUUUCUCCCCCAGAGUCUGAUGCCCUAGGAAAAUCUUCUGCCUUCUUCUUAUACAAACAGUCCUGUUGCCCAUGAGCAUUUUGUGAUUUCUAGAAUCAGCACAAGACCCAUAUUGUAGAAGCUCAAGUACAUUAUAUAUAAAUAUAUGUGUGUGUGUAAUAUGUAUGUGUGUACACAUAGCACAUCUGGACAUAAUGUCAAUGACAUUGAUUUAGAAAGUCUGCCUGGGGCCUUGGCAUCUGCAUUUUUGGGGAAUUAUGUUCUACAAGUGAUAUUGGUCCAAAGGCUUGGAUGAGGACCAGCAGGAUAGAUUUUUGGAUUUCUGGCUGUGAUUAAGAGUCCUGUUUAAUUAUCCUCCUUAAUCCUCAUGACUGCUCACCACCACCACUACACUCUUAUUUCUCUUCAUUAAUUUGGCUUUUCUAGGUGUUGAUUAAACCAGCACACUAGAAUUGUUUCAAACAAAUCAUGUGAGGAACGAGUAACCUUUUAUACCAAAUUGCUACCAGCAUGCAACUAUAAAGAAAUGAGAAAACUGACAUACAGGGAACAAAGGAAGCCCCAAGGGAGUGAAGUCCUGAGUGUGUUGUAGACAUGGGCAUUAGCCAUAAUGAGGACCAAGGUCUUGGGCCCGUGGGGAAUUGGCAAAGCCUUUCCCCAUAUGGGUCAAGAUCUAAAUUGGUAAAACCUUCUUCUUCUAGACCAAAUAUGAAUGUUUAUGAAUAAUUGAUCAGUGUAUGCAACUGCAGCUUCUCCCUGCCAGAUGUUUAUAGUCUGAGAUUGCAUGUCUACAGACACCUCCAAUGGAGACUAGCCAUGCGUGCUGUUGGAAAUAAACACCAUAAGUUUCCA